rnacentral:rRNA from 1 species
GACGAACGCUGGCGGCGUGCCUAAUACAUGCAAGUCGAACGCAGUGGGGACGGGUGAGUAACACGUGGGUAACCUCCCAUCAGAGGGGAUAACACUUGGAAACAGGUGCUAAAACGAUACUGAUGGAUGGACCCGUGGUGCAUUAGCUAGUUGGUGAGGUAAAGGCUUACCUAGGCGACGAUCCGUAGCUUGUCGGAGAGGAUGAGCAGCCACACUGGGACGGAGACACGGCCCAGACUCCUACGGGAGGCAGCAGUGGGGAAUAUUGCACAAUGGGCGCAAGCCUGAUGCAGCCAUGCCGCGUGUAUUAAGAAGUCCUGAGGGUUGUAAAGUACUUUCAGCGGGGAGGCGUUACCCGAUGAAGAAGCACCGGCUAACUCCGUGCCAGCAGCCGCGGUAAUUC